GCCAGUGUGGCGUAGUGGUUUGAGCAUUGGACUAUGACUCUGGAGACCAGGGUUCAAAUCCUGGCUCGAUCA